CCAUUCUAUAGUUUAAAAAAUAUAAACUUUGGAAGUUUAAGAUUGAAAGAAAUUUCAUGGAGUG
rnacentral:tRNA from 1 species